rnacentral:lncRNA from 1 species
GAGAAAGGGGCCUAAGGAGAACCAUUGAUCAGGUCCCUCUUGCAAUCCAGCUGGAGGGUCUGAGUGGGAGGGAGGGGCCCAGCCUUGAGCAGGUCAUCAAUUUGGAGAGGGAAGUCUCACGACACCCAGUGAUGGGGGCCCCCACCAAAGCCAGGGGCAAAGCUUUGUUUUCAAGACACGGUGUUUUGUUUUCGUUGUUUUGGUGGUUUGAUAACUCACUCCUUGCCGAAGGAGACGCAUGUCUAGACAUUUUUGUCUAAGCGUUUGGUUGCAGUGAACAAGCAACCCACCUGUGACAUUCAUCAUCUCCUUUCCUUUGGAAUUUGCAUGUUCUCACAGGCAGGUUCAUUACUUUGACUCAUGUGAUGAGCCAAAUGGAGGGAGAUAUCAAUGGCUGAGGGGUGUUUCUCUCGUCCCUUUGAAAUAAGAGGUUUCCAUCUGCUGUUUCCCCACUCUGUUCCUCUCUAGACUUUGCAAUGACUUGCCCUCUUCACCUGUCUUAUUCUCUGUCCACUACUUUCUCUUGGACUUGAAAAGACCGUGGUUGGUUUUCACCAUCACUUCUCCCUCGAUUGCCUGCCUGUCUGCCUGGACUGGGCUUCAGCAUCUCUGAACCCCACACUCAGAGGUGAGAAUUUCCCAAACACCAACUGUGUUUCCUCUGUGAACCUACAAAAGAAGAGGAAGGCCCAGGCCCGCUUUCCCCUGAAGCCUCCUAACACCUCUCUGGCCUACCCACAACUGCCCCAGAACCAUCCAAUAAGCAAAAUGAAGUUAAGAUGAAAGAAACGCUGCCAUUUCUACAUCAAGGCUCACUCAUUUGAAUCAGAGGAACCCUGGGGCCCUCACUCCAGAACCUGGUUACUCCAUUUUUAGAUACUCCUUUAACCACUGUGGCAAUCCCAUGCCCCUGGUCUCCUUGGAUGAGAAGCGUAGUCCCCGGAUGGUG